AUGGCUCCAGGCACCAAGAGUGGACUGGCUGGGGUGGGGGAUAUCCAGUGUGAGGUGCAGCUGGUGGGGUCCAGGAGAGUCUUAAUGCAGCCUAGAAAAACCUUGAAACUCCCCUCUGCAGCACAUGGAAUCACCUUCAGCGACUGACAUGGUACUCCGGGCUCCAGGGAAGGGGCUGGAGUGGGAUACAUUCAUUAAUAGUAAGGGUAGUUACAUCAACUAUGCCAAAGCUAUAAAAGAACAAUUCACUAUCUCCAGAGACAAUACCAAGAACACUUUGUACCUGGAAAUUAGCAGUUUGAAGUCUGAAAACACAGUCAUUUAUUACUGUACAACACA